rnacentral:rRNA from 1 species
UACGUAGGGUGCGAGCGUUGUCCGGAAUUACUGGGCGUAAAGAGCUCGUAGGUGGUUUGUCGCGUUGUUCGUGAAAACUCACAGCUCAACUGUGGGCGUGCGGGCGAUACGGGCAGACUGGAGUACUGCAGGGGAGACUGGAAUUCCUGGUGUAGCGGUGGAAUGCGCAGAUAUCAGGAGGAACACCGGUGGCGAAGGCGGGUCUCUGGGCCGAUACUGACGCUGAGGAGCGAAAGCGUGGGGAACGAACAGG